GACGAACGCUGGCGGCGUGCCUAAUACAUGCAAGUAGAACGCACAGUUUAUACCGUAGCUUGCUACACCAUAGACUGUGAGUUGCGAACGGGUGAGUAACGCGUAGGUAACCUGCCUGGUAGCGGGGGAUAACUAUUGGAAACGAUAGCUAAUACCGCAUAAUAUUAAUUAUUGCAUGAUAAUUAAUUGAAAGGUGCAAUUGCACCACUACCAGAUGGACCUGCGUUGUAUUGGCUAGUAGGUGAGGUAACGGCUCACCUAGGCGACGAUACAUAGCCGACCUGAGAGGGUGAUCGGCCACACUGGGACUGAGACACGGCCCAGACUCCUACGGGAGGCAGCAGUAGGGAAUCUUCGGCAAUGGACGAAAGUCUGACCGAGCAACGCCGCGUGAGUGAAGAAGGCUUUCGGAUCGUAAAGCUCUGUUGUAAGAGAAGAACGGGUGUGAGAGUGGAAAGUUCACACUGUGACGGUAUCUUACCAGAAAGGGACGGCUAACUACGUG
rnacentral:rRNA from 1 species